GUAUUAUUGAUCGCGUGCGACCGCGAAAAUAAACAUUCUACACUGUAUCGAGUUUUGUGUAAAGACGCGGGCCCUCCGGCAAAGGGGGACCCACGCGGUGGUGCACAGGGUGAGAUGGAUUGUUUGAAAAUGCUCGGGCGUGCACGACCAAAAGUCAGCGACAGCCCUUGCACCUCAGUUUUACAAUAAUGAUCCUUCCGCAGGUUCACCUACGGAAA
rnacentral:misc_RNA from 1 species